CACCAGCCUAUCANUGCAGUCGACGAGAGACCUUCGGGUCUCUAGUGGCGAACGGGUGAGUAAUACGUAGGGAACCUCCCCUGCGCACCGGGAAUACGCUCUGGAAACGGAGAACAAAUCCCCAUGUACAGGAAGGAGGCAUCUUCUUUCUGUGAAACAUCCUUUAGGGGAUGGGGCGCGGAUGGACCUGCGGUGCAUUAGUUGGUUGGCGGGGUAAAGGCCCACCAAGACGAUGAUGCAUAGCCGGCCUGAGAGGGCGGACGGCCACAUUGGGACUGAGACACGGCCCAGACUCCUGCGGGAGGCAGCAGUAGGGAAUUUUCGUCAAUGGGCGCAAGCCUGAACGAGCGAUGCCGCGUGAGUGAAGAAGGCCUUCGGGUCGUAAAGCUCUGUUGCGGGGGAAAAAAGGCAGCAUCAGGAAAUGGGUGCUGACUGAUGGUGCCCCGCCAGAAAGUCACGGCUAACUACGUGCCAGCAGCCGCGGUAAUACGUAGGGUGCGAGCGUUAAUCGGAAUUACUGGGCGUAAAGGGUGCGCAGGCGGUUGAGUAAGACAGAUGUGAAAUCCCCGAGCUUAACUCGGGAAUGGCAUAUGUGACUGCUCGACUAGAGUGUGUCAGAGGGAGGUGGAAUUCCACGUGUAGCAGUGAAAUGCGUAGAUAUGUGGAAGAACACCGAUGGCGAAGGCAGCCUCCUGGGACAUAACUGACGCUCAGGCACGAAAGCGUGGGGAGCAAACAGGAUUAAAUACC
rnacentral:rRNA from 1 species